rnacentral:rRNA from 1 species
GACGAACGCUGGCGGCGUGCUUAACACAUGCAAGUCGAACGGAAAGGCCCUGCUUUUGUGGGGUGCUCGAGUGGCGAACGGGUGAGUAACACGUGAGUAACCUGCCCUUGACUUUGGGAUAACUUCAGGAAACUGGGGCUAAUACCGGAUAGGAGCUCCUGCUGCAUGGUGGGGGUUGGAAAGUUUCGGCGGUUGGGGAUGGACUCGCGGCUUAUCAGCUUGUUGGUGGGGUAGUGGCUUACGAAGGCUUUGACGGGUGGCCGGCCUGAGAGGGUGGCCGGCCACAUUGGGCCUGAGAUAGGGCCCAGACUCCUACGGGAGGCAACAGUGGAGAAUAUUGCACAGUGGGCGGACGCCUGAUGCGGCGACGCCGCGUGCGGGAAGAAGGCCUUCGGGUUGUAAACCGCUUUCGCCUGUGACGAAGCGUGAGUGACGGUAAUGGGUAAAGAAGCACCGGCUAACUACGUG